UCUGGAUGGUAGUGUAUUGGACUACCGUGGCAGUAACGGGUAACGAAGAAUUAGGGUUCGAUUUCGGAGAGGGAGCAUGAGAAACGGCUACCACAUCUAAGGAAGGCAGCAGGCGCGUAAAUUACCCAAUCCUGACUCAGGGAGGUAGUGACAAGAAAUAGCAAACCGGGGACCUCACGGUCUUACGGUAUUGCAAUGAGAACAAUUUAAAACACUUAGCGAGGACCGAGUGGAGGACAAGUCUGGUGCCAGCACCCGCGGUAAUUCCAGCUCCACUAGCGUAUAUUAAAGUUGUUGCAGUUAAAAAGCUCGUAGUUGAACCUCUGUCUGGGGCUAGUUCUGGCUUCGGUCAAGCUAGUUCUAGACAUCCGCCUGUAAGGCCUAGCUGUCAUUUAGUUGUUCACUAGGAUGAGCAGGCAUUUUACUUUGAAAAAAUUAGAGUGUUUAAGGCAGGCCAUAGCCCGCAUAUAUUAGCAUGGAAUAAUAGAAUAGGACACUUUUCCAUUUCGUUGGUUAUUGGAAUCGUGUAAUGAUUAAUAGGGACAGUUGUGGGCAUUUGUAUUUAAUUGUCAGAGGUGAAAUYCUUGGAUUUAUUAAAGACAAACUAACGCGAAAGCAUUUGCCAAGGAUGUUUUCAUUAAUCAAGAACGAAAGUUAGGGGAUCAAAGACGAUYAGAUACCGUC
rnacentral:rRNA from 1 species